rnacentral:rRNA from 1 species
UACGGGGGAUGCAAGCGUUGUCCGGAAUCAUUGGGCGUAAAGAGUUCGUAGGUGGUUUGUUAAGUUUGGUGUUAAAGGCAAAAGCUUAACUUUUGUAUGGCACUGGAUACUGGCAGACUUGAAUGCGGUAGAGGUAAAGGGAAUUCCUGGUGUAGCGGUGAAAUGCGUAGAUAUCAGGAGGAACAUCGGUGGCGUAAGCGCUUUACUGGGCCGUAAUUGACACUGAGGAACGAAAGCCAGGGUAGCAAAU